ensembl:misc_RNA 7SK 7SK RNA
GAAUGUGAGGGCAAUCUGGCUGUGACAUGUCACCCCAUUAAUUGCCAGGGUUGAUUCAGCUGAUCUGGCUGGUUAGGUGGGUGUCUCCCCCCACACACACCAUCACCCCAUGUACGUUGUUCAUGAAGCUGUGCACUUAGUGGAAGAGGACGACCAUCCAGGAUAGAGGAGGACCCAUUCCUCAGUCAAGGGUAUAGGAGCAGUUUUGCUCCCUUGCUGGAACCUCCAAACAAGCUCUCAAAACUGAAGAGGAAAUUCAGAUAUUCCAAUGUGACAAAAACAAAGAAUUUGGACUAGCAGUCCUGCUCU